rfam:Podiceps cristatus contig9907, whole genome shotgun sequence.
AAACCAGCUUUUUUAAAAGCUAUCCCUGAAAAAGAUAGAGGAGUUU